AAAUUUGCUGAUAAAUUUGAGAAGCAACUACCUCACAUGUUCCACCGAAAGUUGUUCCUGAUUUUCUUGACAGUUCUUCAUUUGUUUCUUCUGAUUUGUAUGAAUUCUUUCAGUCAUCUCUUCCUAAUAUAGUGAAAGGCUGCCAAUGGGUCCUGCUGUAUAGGGCAGUACGUUAAAACAUGGAAUAUCACUGAGUACACUUCUAGGUAAGAGUGCUGAUCUUUCUGGUCCUUGUUUGCUGAUCGUUGGUGAUAUGGAAGGUGCUGUGUUUGGUGGGUUGUUGGAAUGUCCCCUAAAACCUACCACAAAAAGAAAAUAUCAAGUAAGUUAGCACAGUCUUCUUGUUCUAAGUUGAGAUU